UCAGGAUGAACGCUGGCGGCCGGCCUAAUACAUGCAAGUCGAACGAACUUCCGUUAAUUGAUUAUGAGGUGCUUGCACUGAAUGAGAUUUUAACACGAAGUGAGUGGCGGACGGGUGAGUAACACGUGGGUAACCUGCCCAGAAGCAGGGGAUAACACCUGGAAACAGAUGCUAAUACCGUAUAACAGAGAAAACCGCCUGGUUUUCUUUUAAAAGAUGGCUCUGCUAUCACUUCUGGAUGGACCCGCGGCGCAUUAGCUAGUUGGUGAGGUAACGGCUCACCAAGGCGAUGAUGCGUAGCCGACCUGAGAGGGUAAUCGGCCACAUUGGGACUGAGACACGGCCCAGACUCCUACGGGAGGCAGCAGUAGGGAAUCUUCCACAAUGGACGCAAGUCUGAUGGAGCAACGCCGCGUGAGUGAAGAAGGGUUUCGGCUCGUAAAGCUCUGUUGUUAAAGAAGAACGUGGGUGAGAGUAACUGUUCACCCAGUGACGGUAUUUAACCAGAAAGCCACGGCUAACUACGUGCCAGCAGCCGCGGUAAUACGUAGGUGGCAAGCGUUAUCCGGAUUUAUUGGGCGUAAAGCGAGCGCAGGCGGUCUUUUAAGUCUAAUGUGAAAGCCUUCGGCUCAACCGAAGAAGUGCAUUGGAAACUGGGAGACUUGAGUGCAGAAGAGGACAGUGGAACUCCAUGUGUAGCGGUGAAAUGCGUAGAUAUAUGGAAGAACACCAGUGGCGAAGGCGGCUGUCUGGUCUGUAACUGACGCUGAGGCUCGAAAGCAUGGGUAGCGAACAGGAUUAGAUACCCUGGUAGUCCAUGCCGUAAACGAUGAUUACUAAGUGUUGGAGGGUUUCCGCCCUUCAGUGCUGCAGCUAACGCAUUAAGUAAUCCGCCUGGGGAGUACGACCGCAAGGUUGAAACUCAAAAGAAUUGACGGGGGCCCGCACAAGCGGUGGAGCAUGUGGUUUAAUUCGAAGCUACGCGAAGAACCUUACCAGGUCUUGACAUCUUCUGCCAACCUAAGAGAUUAGGCGUUCCCUUCGGGGACAGAAUGACAGGUGGUGCAUGGUUGUCGUCAGCUCGUGUCGUGAGAUGUUGGGUUAAGUCCCGCAACGAGCGCAACCCUUAUUACUAGUUGCCAGCAUUCAGUUGGGCACUCUAGUGAGACUGCCGGUGACAAACCGGAGGAAGGUGGGGACGACGUCAAAUCAUCAUGCCCCUUAUGACCUGGGCUACACACGUGCUACAAUGGAUGGUACAACGAGUCGCGAAACCGCGAGGUUUAGCUAAUCUCUUAAAACCAUUCUCAGUUCGGACUGUAGGCUGCAACUCGCCUACACGAAGUCGGAAUCGCUAGUAAUCGCGGAUCAGCAUG
rnacentral:rRNA from 1 species